AAUUUGGUUUAUUCUGAUUGAUUGGAUGUUCUGGUCCUGAGGCUUCAGUGUGUUAGUAGAACAGGUUAGUGAACUCAGGACCAGCUGGAUGAGGGGACUGAGGCUUCAGUGUGUUAGUAGAACAGGUUUGUGAACUCAGGACCAGCUGGAUGAGGGGACUGAGGCUUCAGUGUGUUAGUAGAACAGGUUUGUGAACUCAGGACCAGCUGGAUGAGGGGACUGAGGCUUCAGUGUGUUAGUAGAACAGGUUUGUGAACUCAGGACCAGCUGGAUGAGGGGACUGAGGCUUCAGUGUGUUAGUAGAACAGGUUUGUGAACUCAGGACCAGCUGGAUGAGGGGACUGAGGCUUCAGUGUGUUAGUAGAACAGGUUUGUGAACUCAGGACCAGCUGGAUGAGGGGACUGAGGCUUCAGUGUGUUAGUAGAACAGGUUUGUGAACUCAGCCCCAGGACCAGCUGGAUG